rnacentral:rRNA from 1 species
GAUGAACGCUAGCUACAGGCUUAACACAUGCAAGUCGAGGGGUAACGAGAGGGAAGCUUGCUUUCCUUGUCGACGACCGGCGCACGGGUGAGUAACGCGUAUCCAACCUGCCCCCAACUAGGGAAUAACCUUGCGAAAGUAAGACUAAUACCCUAUAAUUUCCUCAGAUGUCAUCUGACGAGGAAUAAAGAUUUAUCGGUUGUGGUUGGGGAUGCGUCUGAUUAGCUUGUUGGCGGGGUAACGGCCAACCAAGGCAACGAUCAGUAGGGGUUCUGAGAGGAAGGUCCCCCACAUUGGAACUGAGACACGGUCCAAACUCCUACGGGAGGCAGCAGUGAGGAAUAUUGGUCAAUGGGCGGAAGCCUGAACCAGCCAAGUAGCGUGCAGGAUGACGGCCCUAUGGGUUGUAAACUGCUUUUAUACAGGAAUAAAGUUAGCCACGUGUGGUUAUUUGUAGGUACUGUAUGAAUAAGGACCGGCUAAUUCCGUGCCAGCCGCCGCGGUAA